rnacentral:rRNA from 1 species
UACGGGGGGAGCAAGCGUUGUUCGGAUUUACUGGGCGUAAAGGGCGCGUAGGCGGCCACCGCAAGUCGACUGUGAAAUCUCCGGGCUUAACCCGGAACGGUCAGCCGAUACUGCGGGGCUAGAGUGCAGAAGGGGCAACUGGAAUUCUCGGUGUAGCGGUGAAAUGCGUAGAUAUCGAGAGGAACACCUGCGGCGAAGGCGGGUUGCUGGGCUGACACUGACGCUGAUGCGCGAAAGCUAGGGAGCGAACGGG